GACGAACGCUGGCGGCGUGCUUAACACAUGCAAGUCGAACGGAAAGGCUCCAGCUUGCUGGAGUACUCGAGUGGCGAACGGGUGAGUAACACGUGGGUAAUCUGCCCUGCACUCUGGGAUAAGCCUGGGAAACUGGGUCUAAUACUGGAUAUGACCUUUCUCCUUAUGGGGUUUGGUGGAAAGUUUUUCGGUGUAGGAUGAGCCCGCGGCCUAUCAGCUUGUUGGUGGGGUGAUGGCCUACCAAGGCGACGACGGGUAGCCGGCCUGAGAGGGUGAUCGGCCACAUUGGGACUGAGAUACGGCCCAGACUCCUACGGGAGGCGGCAGUGGGGAAUAUUGCACAAUGGGCGGAAGCCCGAUGCAGCGACGCCGCGUGAGGGAUGACGGCCUUCGGGUUGUAAACCUCUUUCAGCAGGGACGAAGCGUAAGUGACGGUACCUGCAGAAGAAGCACCGGCUAACUAUGUG
rnacentral:rRNA from 1 species